CCUACGGGAGGCAGCAGUAAGGAAUAUUGGUCAAUGGACGAAAGUCUGAACCAGCCAUGCCGCGUGAAGGAUGAAGGUCCUUUGGAUUGUAAACUUCUUUUAUCUGGGACGAAAAAAGGGAAUUCUUUCUCACUUGACGGUACCAGAAGAAUAAGCACCGGCUAACUCCGUGCCAGCAGCCGCGGUAAU
rnacentral:rRNA from 1 species